GCAAACAAAGAAAGGGUAAAGAAAAUACUAAAGCAAAAUAAAAAAUAAAAAAACUAAAAAUUGAAUUGAAGAAGAGGCCUCUCUCUCUCUCUCUGUUUCAUCGUCGCAAAGGAGACCUCUCGCCUUCAAUCGAGCUCCAUCGAUUCGGGAAGCAGCUGUCCUGGCCAUAGAAAAAAUCAAUCGAGAUUCCAUUUCUGAAUCUAGUGUGUCGAUUUGUUUUGAUUUUUUUACUGGAUCUCUGAAAAAACGAAGGAGAUGAGUAGAUGGGAACAUAAGGUCAUCGACGAGAUCGCAACAAGGUCGUAGUGAGAGCUUUGGCCAACAUGCGCCGUCUCGAACUGUCACGCUGGGUCGGGUACAACCUCAGGCGCCUGCUUACCGCACCAUCUACUGCAAUGACCGCGACGCCAAUUUCGCCCAUCGAUACAGGGGGAACUCAAUAUCAACUACAAGUACAACUUUUACCUUUCUACCAAAGGGGCUUUAUGAACAGUUCAGACGGGUUGCUAACUUGUACUUUCUAACGGUAUCUAUUCUAGCAAACUCCAUAUAGUCCUGUGCAUCCUGUAACAAAUGUGGUUCCUCUAAGUCUGGUGCUUUUGGUUUCUCUUAUUAAAGAGGCAUUUGAGGACUGGAAACGUUUCCAGAAUGAU